rnacentral:rRNA from 1 species
UACGAGGGGAGCAAGCGUUGUUCGGAUUUACUGGGCGUAAAGGGCGCGUAGGCGGUCGUGACAAGUCACUUGUGAAAUCUCCGGGCUUAACUCGGAACGGUCAAGUGAUACUGUCGGACUAGAGUACAGAAGGGGCAACUGGAAUUCUCGGUGUAGCGGUGAAAUGCGUAGAUAUCGAGAGGAACACCUGCGGCGAAGGCGGGUUGCUGGGCUGAUACUGACGCUGACGCGCGAAAGCCAGGGGAGCGAACGGG